rnacentral:rRNA from 1 species
CCUACGGGUGGCUGCAGUGGGGAAUAUUGGACAAUGGGCGAAAGCCUGAUCCAGCCAUGCCGCGUGAGUGAUGAAGGCCCUAGGGUUGUAAAGCUCUUUCGGCGGGGAAGAUGAUGACGGUACCCGCAGAAGAAGCCCCGGCUAACUCCGUGCCAGCAGCCGCGGUAAUACGGAGGGGGCUAGCGUUGCUCGGAAUCACUGGGCGUAAAGCGAGCGUAGGCGGCCGCGCAAGUCGGGGGUGAAAGCCCGGGGCUCAACCCCGGAACUGCCCUCGAAACUGCGUGGCUAGAGGCCGGGAGAGGAGAGUGGAAUUCCCAGUGGAGAGGUGAAAUUCGCAGAUAUUGGGAGGAACACCGGUGGCGAAAGCGGCUCUCUGGAACGGUUCUGACGCUGAGGCUCGAAAGCGUGGGGAGCAAACAGGAUUAGAUACCCUGG